GCCUCUUGGGGCACUGAAUACAUUAGCAGUGGGAUAAUAAAAUAGGAUCAUCACAAUAUUAUUUUAUUGGUUUAAAUUGCGUAUGAAGAUAAUGAUUAAUAGGGACAGGUUGGGGUAUUCAUAUUGGGUGGUUAGCGGUGAAAUGCUCGGAUCCAUUCAAGAUGAACUAAAGCGAAAGCAUUUACCAAGGAUGUUUUCAUUAAUCAAGAACGAAAGUUAAGGGAUCGAAGACGAUUAGAUACCGUCGUAGUCUUAACUAUAAACUAUGCCGACCAGGGAUAUGAGUUGUUAGGAAUAUACGAAAGUAUAUUCAAUUUCUUCUUAUGGACCUUGUGAGAAAUCAUAAGUUUUUGGGUUCUGGGGGGAGUAUGGUCGCAAGGCUGAAACUUAAAGGAAUUGACGGAGGA
rnacentral:rRNA from 1 species